CUCAAACUCACAACCCCAAGAUCCAGAGUCUCAUGCUCUACUGACUGAGCCAGCUAGGUGCCCCAACCUUUAUUUUUUUAGAGCAGUUUAGGUUUACCGCAAAAUGGAAUGGAAAGAAAACAUAACUAAAUAGGAAAUGCAGAUUUUCCCAUAUACUUCCUGUCCCCACCCAAGCACAGGUGACCCCACCAUCAACACCAGAGUGGUAUAUUUGUUACAGUCGAGAAACCAACACUAUAAUCUCGAAACCAACACUGACAAACCAACAAAGCCUAUAGUUUACCUUAGUGUUCACGCUUAGUGUUGUACAUUCUAUAGGUUUGGAUAUAUAAUAACAUGUAUCUGCCGUUAUAGUAUUUAGAAUAGUCUCAGUGCCCUAAAAAUCCUGUGUGCUCUGUUAUUCAUCUUCUCCCCACUAAACCUUGGCGACCACUGAUAUUUUUUAUUGCUCCCAUACUUACACCUUCUCCUCUCUCUCUCUCUCUUUUUUUACUUACACCUUUUCCAGAAGGUCUUAGUAGCUGUAACCUGCAAUCAAUAGGCUCUUCAGAUUGGCUUCCUCCACUGAGCCAUAUACAUUAAAGUUUCCUCCAUGUUUUUUCAUGGCUUGAUAGGAUCCUGAUUUUUAAAAGAAUCUUUUCUAUUAUUAUAGUUGAGGAGGUAUUUAUAGAUACAUAUGCCUUAACUCUUUAGAGAAACAAAGUAUACUUCUACUUACUUCCUGAAAUGACUCUAUCUCUCUUCUACAUCCUAGGAGGGUCCAGGAGGGUACAGGUAUCUUCUAGAACCUACAGCUGGCCGUUCACUGAUGUAUUUAGUGUCUAUCAUAGACCACUGUUCCAAACACCAGGGCUGGGUAACAUCCCCAACACUUAGUGGUGCAGUGCCAUCAUUUAUUAUGCUCACAGAUUCUGUGGGUUUGCACAUGACAAACCAGGGACGCCUUGUCUUGCCCUCCCAUGUCUGAUGCCUCAACUGGAAGACUUGAAGUCUACAGGAUGGAAUCAUUGGAAGGUCCCUUCAUUCAUCUCUCUGGCAGUGGGAGCUGGCUGUCAGCUGGGGGCAUUGUUUGCUCCCCACAAGCUAGUGGCUGGUUUCAAGGGCCUCUCUGGAUGCCCUGACGUGACUAGUACUGCAUUGCCUGAAAUGCCUGGCUCCUCCGUGAAGUAUACCAGCAAUCCCAAAGGUUUGGGGAAUUCCAUUUGCUCCGAGAAUGCUGCUCUUUAUAAAGCUCCUCCUCCUAACACACACACACACACACACACACACAACCCUUGCACAGCUUCAAUAGUGUGUUAACUAUGUAUUUGCUAGUUGUUUUUUUAAAGUAUUUGUUGUUUUCGUGGUUUACACAGCAAACCUAAGAGACUAGACAAGCAAAUCAUUUGAAUUAAUGCAAAAGCUUGACAAGGUUAAGAGACAAAUGCAGUUUCAUGGUUAUAGCCCUGGAUAUUGGACAAUGAGUUUGAAUCCUGGCUUCACUGUUUGUGAUCUGGGACAAUUUACUUAAUCUCUCUGCACUUCUCUAAACAUCAAUUCCCUUAUAUAUAAAUAGUUAUAAAAAUAAUACCUCCUUCAGAGAGUCAUUGUGAAUUUGAAUGUAUUCUAUACAUAUAAAAUGCUUAGGACAGUGCCUGGCACAUGGUAACGAUUAUAUAAAUGGUAGCUAUAUGAUAAAGAUUGCUGGCUUUGAGAGCAACAUACAAAAAUUGAUCAAGUUCUCUCCAUAUAUGCAGCAAAUAAUUAAAAGAUGUAAUUUUUAAAAGAUUACAUUUAAAUCACAGCAUAAAAAUAAAAUUUCUAGGAAUAAAUCUAACA
ensembl:lncRNA